UGAGCAACCUGCCCCGAAGACCGGGAUAACAGCGGGAAACCGCUGCUAAUACCGGAUACCCUCAUCACGUCGCAUGGCGAGAUGAGGAAAUGGAUUCCGCUUCGGGGUGGCUCGCGGUCUAUCAGCUUGUUGGUGAGGUAAUGGCUCACCAAGGCUACGACGGAUAGCUGGUCUGAGAGGAUGUCCAGCCACACUGGGACUGAGACACGGCCAGAUCCG
rnacentral:rRNA from 1 species